rnacentral:rRNA from 1 species
UACAGAGGGGGCAAGCGUUGUUCGGAAUUACUGGGCGUAAAGGGCGCGUAGGCGGCCUGUUAAGUCGAACGUGAAAUCCCCAGGCUCAACCUGGGAACUGCGUCCGAUACUGGCAGGCUUGAAUCCGGGAGAGGGAUGUGGAAUUCCAGGUGUAGCGGUGAAAUGCGUAGAUAUCUGGAGGAACACCGGUGGCGAAGGCGGCAUCCUGGACCGGUAUUGACGCUGAUGCGCGAAAGCCAGGGGAGCAAACGGG